GACGAACGCUGGCGGCGUGCUUAACACAUGCAAGGCGAGCGGAAAGGCCACUUCGGUGGUACUCGAGCGGCGAACGGGUGAGUAACACGUGAGUAAUCUGCCCCUGGCCUUGGGAUAGCCACCGGAAACGGUGAUUAAUACCGGAUACGACCACUUCUCGCAUGGGAUGGUGGUGGAAAGUUUUUUCGGCCAGGGAUGUGCUCGCGGGCUAUCAGCUGGAUGGUGAGGUAAUGGCUCACCAUGGCUUCGCCGGGUAGCCGGCCUGAGAGGGUGACCGGUAACACUGGGACUGAGACACGGCCCAGACUCCUACGGGAGGCAGCAGUGGGGAAUAUUGGACAAUGGGCGGAAGCCUGAUCCAGCAACGCCGCGUGAGGGAUGACGGCCUUCGGGUUGUAAACCUCUUUCAGCAGGGACGAAGCGCAAGUGACGGUACCUGCAGAAGAAGCACCGGCCAACUACGUGCCAGCCGCCGCCGUAA
rnacentral:rRNA from 1 species